AGACUUUGAUUAUGGCUCAGGAUGAACGCUAGCGACAGGCUUAACACAUGCAAGUCGAGGGGCAUCAUGAGGUAGCAAUACCUUGAUGGCGACCGGCGCACGGGUGAGUAACGCGUAUGCAACCUGCCUGAUACCGGGGUAUAGCCCAUGGAAACGUGGAUUAACACCCCAUAGUACUUUUAUCCUGCAUGGGAUGUGAGUUAAAUGUUCAAGGUAUCGGAUGGGCAUGCGUCCUAUUAGUUAGUUGGCGGGGUAACAGCCCACCAAGACGAUGAUAGGUAGGGGUUCUGAGAGGAAGGUCCCCCACAUUGGAACUGAGACACGGUCCAAACUCCUACGGGAGGCAGCAGUGAGGAAUAUUGGUCAAUGGACGAGAGUCUGAACCAGCCAAGUCGCGUGAGGGAAGACUGGCCUAUGGGUUGUAAACCUCUUUUAUAAGGGAAGAAUAAGUUCUACGUGUAGAAUGAUGCCUGUACCUUAUGAAUAAGCAUCGGCUAACUCCGUGCCAGCAGCCGCGGUAAUACGGAGGAUGCGAGCGUUAUCCGGAUUUAUUGGGUUUAAAGGGUGCGUAGGCGGUUUAUUAAGUUAGUGGUUAAAUAUUUGAGCUAAACUCAAUUGUGCCAUUAAUACUGGUAAACUGGAGUACAGACGAGGUAGGCGGAAUAAGUUAAGUAGCGGUGAAAUGCAUAGAUAUAACUUAGAACUCCGAUAGCGAAGGCAGCUUACCAGACUGUAACUGACGCUGAUGCACGAGAGCGUGGGUAGCGAACAGGAUUAGAUACCCUGGUAGUCCACGCCGUAAACGAUGCUCACUGGUUCUGUGCGAUAUAUUGUACGGGAUUAAGCGAAAGUAUUAAGUGAGCCACCUGGGGAGUACGUCGGCAACGAUGCAACUCAAAGGAAUUGAC
rnacentral:rRNA from 1 species